AUGGACGGCGAGUGGAGCGACGGGGCGGUGUCCGGUGGCGAGCAGAAGGCCAGCGGGGACGGCGUUUCGGCGGACUGCAACAGCCCGGGGUCGCCUUCGCCACCGGCGGUGCCGUCGACUAGCGGGAGGAGGCGGUCGUUGCAGAAGCGAGUGGUGACCGUGCCUCUCGCCGAUUUGAACGUCCCGCGGCCCAAGGGCGUCGGAGAGGGCAACACGCCGACAGACUCGUGGGCGUGGCGGAAGUACGGCCAGAAGCCCAUCAAGGGCUCACCCUUCCCAAGGGCUUACUACAGGUGCAGUAGCUCCAAGGGGUGCCCGGCGAGGAAGCAGGUGGAGAGGAGCCAGGCCGACCCGGACACGGUGCUCAUCACCUACUCCUACGAGCACAACCACUCCAGCACGGUGGCGAGGGCGCAGAGCCGCCCGACCCCGACACCGAAACCCAACAAGGAGCGGCCGCUCCCGUCGCCCGAGCCAGCGAAAUCUGACGGCACGCACCAUGGAACCGCCAACGUUGCCGGCGGCCUAGUCACCGCGAGCCCGGCGCCGGCCAUCGAGGUGCACGACGAUUUCCGGUGGCUCUACGACGUCGUGUCCGUCACCUCGUCGACGUCGCCCUCCGAAGUCGAGGCGGCCGACGACAUGCUGCUGUACGGGCCCAUGUUCUUCGGCAAACCGGUGGUCGAGGUCGACACGGCCGCGCUCCUUCCCGGCGAGUUCGGCGGCGAGGCCGUCGGCGGGGAAGGGGGCGAAGAAGACGACGCAAUGUUCGCGGGGCUCGGCGAGCUGCCGGAGUGCGCCAUAGUGUUCCGGCGGCAUGCCCGCGACGGCCUGGCGGCAAUGGCGGGAGGGGUCAAGGUCGAGCAGCCGGCGGAGGGCACAGCCAUGACGUGA
rnacentral:rRNA from 1 species